rnacentral:rRNA from 1 species
AUACGGAGGAUCCUAGCGUUAUCCGGAUUUACUGGGUUUAAAGGGUGCGUAGGCGGGCGUUUAAGUCCGCGGUGAAAGUCUGCGGCUCAACCGUAGGAUUGCCGUGGAUACUGGACGUCUUGGAUUCGGUCGGGGCGGGCGGAAUGCGUGGUGUAGCGGUGAAAUGCAUAGAUAUCACGCAGAACGCCGAUAGCGAAGGCAGCUCGCCGGGCCGACAUCGACGCUGAGGCACGAAAGCGUGGGGAUCAAACAGGAUUAGAUACCCUGGUAGUCCACGCCGUAAACGAUGAUGGCUGGGUGUUGGCGAUACAAUGUCAGCGCCUGAGGGAAACCAUUAAGCCAUCCACCUGGGGAGUACGGCCGCAAGGCUGAA